GAUGAACGCUGGCGGCGUGCCUAAUACAUGCAAGUCGAGCGAACAGACGAGGAGCUUGCUCCUCUGACAUUAGCGGCGGACGGGUGAGUAACACGUGGAUAACCUACCUAUAAGACUGGGAUAACUUCGGGAAACCGGAGCUAAUACCGGAUAAUAUAUUGAACCGCAUGGUUCAAUAGUGAAAGACGGUUUUGCUGUCACUUCUAGAUGGAUCCGCGCCGCAUUAGCUAGUUGGUAAGGUAACGGCUUACCAAGGCAACGAUGCGUACCCGACCUGAGAGUGAUAUCGGCCAAGCGGGAAGUGAGACGGUGCCCUGAGCCCGUCGGGAGGGAGGAGUAUGGAAGGUUCCGCUAUUGGCGAAAGCCGGACAGAGCAGCUCCGCUAGAGUCAUGAAGGUCUUCCGAUCGUAAAACCCUGUGAUUAGGGAAGAACAAAUGUGUAAGUAACUAUGCACGUCUAGACGGUACCUAAGCAGAAAGCCACGGCUAACUACGUG
rnacentral:rRNA from 1 species